UACGGGGGAUGCAAGCGUUAUCCGGAAUCAUUGGGCGUAAAGCGCCUGUAGGUGGUUUAGUAAGUCUGUUGUUAAAGCCUAGGGCUUAACCCUAGAAAAGCAAUGGAAACUACUAGGCUAGAGUAUGGUAGGGGUAGAGGGAAUUUCUAGUGUAGCGGUGAAAUGCGUAGAUAUUAGAAAGAACACCGGUGGCGAAAGCGCUCUACUGGACCAUUACUGACACUCAGAGGCGAAAGCUAGGGUAGCAAAAGGGAUUAGAUACCCCUGUAGUCCUAGCCGUAAACGAUGGAUACUAGGUGUCGGGGGAUCGCCCCGGUGUCGUAGCUAACGCGUUAAGUGUUCCGCCUGGGGAGUACGCACGCAAGUGUG
rnacentral:rRNA from 1 species